AUCCCAUUUAUAGAAGUAUAAAUCUUCUCCUUUUUA
rnacentral:tRNA from 1 species